UUCUCAACCUUUGCCAUGUUUUCUGCAUGCAGAACAAAUGGGAAGAAAGAUCAAAGAAAAGAUUAUGUACAUCCUCUCAGAUGAAAGAAACAUAAAAUAGAAAAGUUCCAAAAUAAACUAAAAACUUUCCCUUGAAGAUUGGUAGGGUGAAGAGAGAGAUGAGAAAUAUAUAUAACUCCAUUUUCAUCUCCAUCAUGAUAAGAGAAACAGAGACCACAAAGGCUGCCUUUCUUUUAAUACAAAUAUCAUGAGAAAGAAGAAACUUCACAAAUUCAACCACAUCCCAACCACAACUCCCUUUGUCUACUGUGUUGGAAACACAAUACACAUUUCAUAACAUUUAACCAUAUAUGAUGAAUAUCCUAAGCAAAGACAAAACUAGAAUUGGUUUACUUCUCAGAUCUCAUUAUAAGCAUCCAGCAAAAUCCAGGAACAUAUAUAUCUAUCAUAAUUGGAAUGGUGCUCUGGCAUUGAAUUCCAUGCUCAGGGGGGCUGCCAUGCAUUCAACAUUUAAAAGAUGGCAUUAGAAGUUAGAAUAGAAACCACAACCCAGUUAUGCUGUUCCAUAUCUUUUG
rnacentral:misc_RNA from 1 species